rnacentral:lncRNA from 1 species
UUGAUCUCCUUUAGCUGGGUCUCCAGUUGACUGUGCAUGUCAUUAUUAGUGGAGAGCUGAAGGUUCAGAUCAGCAAUGUUGUUUUGAUGGUGUUUGUUUUCUUCUCUUAAUUUCACCAGCUCUUGUUGCAGACUCUCUUCAAGAGAUUGCUUUUCCUUCAAGUUCUCUUCAAGAGAUUGCUUUUCCUUCAAGCUCUCUUCAAGUUUAGCUUCGUAUUCUGCAGUCUGUUCUUCAAUUUUCUUCUUUUCUUCAGUUAUUUGGCUCAAUGACUCCAUAGUUCUUUUCUUCAAGUUUAGCUGGGGUCUGCGGAUCAUAGCUGAAUUCAGAUUCGGCUCGGAUCGAUUGUUCGCUCUUGAUUAUUCAUGAAAUGAUCAAGAGAGCUCCUUCUCUUUCUC